AACGGGGGCCGAGACCCCGGCGCCCACAGGGCUGCUUGGCGGGUGUCAGCAUGUGACGCUGACUUGGCCUCAGAGCUGGAAACUCUGGCGAAUGCAGACAGGACCGAACUUCCUUAGUCAUCGCGCUGAUGAUACAGGAUAAGAUACUCUCUCGUGAUGCUGAGCAGUGGCCGCAGCCGCAGCACCCCAUCAGCCAUGUGAUCAUGAGGGUGAACGACCGAUAUGCUUACAACCAUUAUGCACCCACAUAACCAUUCUGGCUUUGAUUCUCAGUACAGUAUUCGAUAAAUUACAUGAGAUGUUAUAAAA